UCCAGUUUAACACUGGCAGUCUCUCCAAAGUUCCCAACUUAAUGGUGGCAAUAGGAGACGGGGGUUGCGCUCGUUACGGGACUUAACCCAACAUCUCACGACACGAGCUGACGACAGCCAUGCAGCACCUGUCUCUCGGCUCCCUUGCGGGCACCGUCACAUCUCUGUAACGUUCCGAGGAUGUCAAGCCCAGGAUAAGGUUCUUCGCGUUGCAUCGAAUUGAACCACAUGCUCCACCGCUUGUGCGGGUCCCCGUCAAUUCCUUUGAGUUUUAAUCUUGCGACCGUACUUCCCAGGCGGAAUACUUAACGCGUUAGCUUCGACACGGGAAGGGUUAACUCUCCCCACAUCAAGUAUUCAUAGUUUACGGCGUGGACUAC
rnacentral:misc_RNA from 1 species